UCGAGAGGCUUUGGCAAUGGGGGAAACCCUGACCAAGCGACGCCGCGUGGAGGAUGAAGGCCUUUGGGUUGUAAACUCCUUUUGUCGGGGAAGAAAUGCGAUCAGGUGAAUAAUCUGGUCGUUUGACGGUACUCGGCGAAUAAGCUCCGGCUAACUCCGUGCCAGCAGCCGCGGUAACACGGGGGGAGCAAGCGUUGUUCGGAAUCACUGGGCGUAAAGGGCGUGUAGGCGGUCAGAUAAGUGGGAUGUGAAAUCCCUCGGCUCACCCGAGGACCUGCAUCCCAAACUGUCUGGCUUGAGUAUGGGAGAGGAUGAGGGAAUUCCUGGUGUAGCGGUGAAAUGCGUAGAUAUCAGGAGGAACACCGGUGGCGAAGGCGCUCAUCUGGCCCAAUACUGACGCUGAGGCGCGAAAGCUAGGGGAGCAAACGG
rnacentral:rRNA from 1 species